rnacentral:rRNA from 1 species
AAUGGCCGCAGUACCUUGACUGUGCUAAGGUAGCAUAAUAAAUUGACUCUUAAUUGGGGCCUUGAAUGAAUGGAUUAAUGAAUAAUUUCUGUCUUAAUUAAAACUAGUAAAAAUUACUUAAAAGGUGAAAAUUCCUUUAACAUAUAUAAUAGACGAGAAGACCCUAGGAGUUUAAAAUUUUGUUGGGGCGACAAUAUAGCAAUAUAACCUAUAUAAAUUAAUUUAUUUAUAAAACGAAUUUAUUUUAAUGAUAAUUAAACUACCCUAGGGAUAACAGCAUAAUUUACUUAUUAAGUUUGUGACCUCGAUGUUGGACUAGGAACUUUUAACAUUAACAAUGUUAAUUGGUAGUUCUGUUCGA